rnacentral:rRNA from 1 species
GAUGAACGCUGGCGGCGUGCCUAAUACAUGCAAGUCGAGCGAACAGAUGAGGAGCUUGCACCUCUGACGUUAGCGGCGGACGGGUGAGUAACACGUGGAUAACCUGCCUAUAAGACUGGGAUAACUUCGGGAAACCGGAGCUAAUACCGGAUAAUAUAUUGAACCGCAUGGUUCAAUAGUGAAAGACGGUUUUGCUGUCACUUAUAGAUGGAUCCGCGCCGCAUUAGCUAGUUGGUAAGGUAACGGCUUACCAAGGCAACGAUGCGUAGCCGACCUGAGAGGGUGAUCGGCCACACUGGAACUGAGACACGGUCCAGACUCCUACGGGAGGCAGCAGUAGGGAAUCUUCCGCAAUGGGCGAAAGCCUGACGGAGCAACGCCGCGUGAGUGAUGAAGGUCUUCGGAUCGUAAAACUCUGUUAUUAGGGAAGAACAAAUGUGUAAGUAACUAUGCACGUCUUGACGGUACCUAAUCAGAAAGCCACGGCUAACUACGUG